rnacentral:rRNA from 1 species
CCUACGGGAGGCAGCAGUGAGGAAUAUUGGUCAAUGGACGCAAGUCUGAACCAGCCAUGCCGCGUGCAGGAUGACGGUCCUAUGGAUUGUAAACUGCUUUUGUACGAGAAGAAACACUCCUACGUGUAGGAAUUUGACGGUAUCGUAAGAAUAAGGAUCGGCUAACUCCGUGCCAGCAGCCGCGGUAAU